CCUACGGGAGGCAGCAGUGGGGAAUUUUGGACAAUGGGCGCAAGCCUGAUCCAGCAAUGCCGCGUGCAGGAUGAAGGCCUUCGGGUUGUAAACUGCUUUUGUACGGAACGAAACGGUGAGCUCUAAUACAGUUUGCUAAUGACGGUACCGUAAGAAUAAGCACCGGCUAACUACGUGCCAGCAGCCGCGGUAAUACGUAGGGUGCGAGCGUUAAUCGGAAUUACUGGGCGUAAAGCGUGCGCAGGCGGUGAUGUAAGACAGAUGUGAAAUCCCCGGGCUCAACCUGGGACCUGCAUUUGUGACUGCAUCGCUAGAGUACGGUAGAGGGGGAUGGAAUUCCGCGUGUAGCAGUGAAAUGCGUAGAUAUGCGGAGGAACACCGAUGGCGAAGGCAAUCCCCUGGACCUGUACUGACGCUCAUGCACGAAAGCGUGGGGAGCAAACAGGAUUAGAUACCCUGGUAGUCCACGCCCUAAACGAUGUCAACUGGUUGUUGGGUCUUCACUGACUCAGUAACGAAGCUAACGCGUGAAGUUGACCGCCUGGGGNGACGCCGCGAGUAGAAGUUAAAUAGAGUGACGCGUGAGACGAGCGAGGACGACGACGAGGGGAGGUAGG
rnacentral:rRNA from 1 species